AAACAACCAGGGAUCUGUUGCCUCUGUGAACUGUUCUCUCGUAAACUUCAGGGACAUCAAACGCAUUGUUAUUGGGUGAACCUCUGAUUGUUUUUUGUGGCUGAAGGUUCAGUAAACAAUGCCACAUUU